GGGGAAUAUUGCGCAAUGGGCGGAAGCCUGACGCAGCGACGCCGCGUGGGGGAUGAAGGCCUUCGGGUUGUAAACCUCUUUCAGCGCCGAAGAAGCGCAAGUGACGGUAGGCGCAGAAGAAGCACCGGCUAACUACGUGCCAGCAGCCGCGGUAAUACGUAGGGUGCAAGCGUUGUCCGGAAUUAUUGGGCGUAAAGAGCUCGUAGGCGGUUUGUCACGUCUGCUGUGAAAACUCGGGGGUUAACCCCGGGCCUGCAGUGGGUACGGGCAGACUAGAGUGUGGUAGGGGAGACUGGAAUUCCUGGUGUAGCGGUGAAAUGCGCAGAUAUCAGGAGGAACACCGGUGGCGAAGGCGGGUCUCUGGGCCAUAACUGACGCUGAGGAGCGAAAGCGUGGAGAGCGAAC
rnacentral:rRNA from 1 species